rnacentral:rRNA from 1 species
AUUGAACGCUGGCGGCAUGCCUUACACAUGCAAGUCGAACGGGAGAGGGGCAACCCUUGAGAGUGGCGAACGGGUGAGUAAUAUAUCGGAACGUGCCCAGUCGUGGGGGAUAACGUAGAGAAAUUUACGCUAAUACCGCAUACGAUCUAUGGAUGAAAGCGGGGGACCGUAAGGCCUCGCGCGAUUGGAGCGGCUGAUAUCAGAUUAGGUUGUUGGUGAGGUAAAAGCUCACCAAGCCGACGAUCUGUAGCUGGUUUGAGAGAACGACCAGCCACACUGGAACUGAGACACGGCCCAGACUCCUACGGGAGGCAGCAGUGGGGAAUUUUGGACAAUGGGCGAAAGCCUGAUCCAGCAAUGCCGCGUGCAGGAAGAGGGCCUUCGGGUUGUAAACUGCUUUUGUACGGAACGAAACGGUCCGCUUUAAUACAGUGGGCUAAUGACGGUACCGUAAGAAUAAGCACCGGCUAACUACGUGCCAGCCGCCGCAGUAAAAC